rnacentral:other from 1 species
GUGGCUCUGCCUUGCGUGGAAUCGGCUACAACGGUCGAACCAACAUUUGUACCGAGGGAGCCCUACAUCUCUCGGCGGAGUGGUAUCCCGAUAAGGGAAGCGUGACGCCGAGGUGCGGGCACCCACCUGCUGAGGCAGGUUCACCAUGCCGACCACGCGAGGCGGGGUUCAA